ensembl:snoRNA
CCUCAUUUUCUUGACAGGAACUGGGCAUGUAGUCCUACUCCCUGUUAUGUACAGAGGCAAAGGGAAGAGCUCCGGCCCCCCUUGGCAUGUCUUUGGUGCCAUGCAGCUUCCUGUCUGCCAGUUCUAUCCUCAAGCACCAGGACACCA